UCCCUCGUGGUCCAGUGGCUAAGAUUCUGCACUCCCAAGGCAGGGUGCCCAGGUUCGAUCCCUGAUCAGGGAA
rnacentral:tRNA from 1 species